rnacentral:hammerhead_ribozyme from 1 species
AUAUAGACGACGAGUUCCAAAUAGGACGUAACGCACGUCCUAGAU